rnacentral:tRNA from 1 species
GCCCCUGUAGUUCAAUGGAUAGAACGCAGGUUUGCGGAACCUGAAAUUAAGGUUCGAUUCCUUACAGGGGCA